rnacentral:rRNA from 1 species
CCUACGGGUGGCAGCAGUGGGGAAUAUUGCACAAUGGGGGAAACCCUGAUGCAGUGACGCCGCGUGAGUGAAGAAGUAUUUCGGUACGUAAAGCUCUAUCAGCAGGGAAGAAAUAGCGACCUUUGGGUCGCCAGACGGUACCUGAUUAAGAAGCACCGGCUAACUACGUGCCAGCAGCCGCGGUAAUACGUAGUGGGCAAGCGUUAUCCGGAUUUACUGGGUGUAAAGGGCGCGUAGACGGCAGCGCAAGUCUGAAGUGAAAUGCCGGGGCUUAACCCCGGAACUGCUUUGGAAACUGGUCAGCUAGAGUGCAGGAGAGGUAAGUGGAAUUCCUAGUGUAGCGGUGAAAUGCGUAGAUAUUAGGAGGAACACCAGUGGCGAAGGCGGCUUACUGGACUGUAACUGACGUUGAGGCUCGAAAGCGUGGGGAGCAAACAGGAUUAGAUACCCUGGUAGUC